UACGAAGGGGGCUAGCGUUGUUCGGAAUCACUGGGCGUAAAGCGCACGCAGGCGGAUUGAUAAGUCAGGGGUGAAAUCCCGGAGCUCAACUUCGGAAUUGCCUUUGAUACUGUCUGUCUUGAGUCCGGGAGAGGUGAGUGGAAUUCCUAGUGUAGAGGUGAAAUGCGCAGAUAUCAGGAGGAACACCAGUGGCGAAGGCGGCACUCUGGGCCGGUACUGACGCUGAGGAGCGAAAGCGUGGGGAGCGAACAGG
rnacentral:rRNA from 1 species